CACAAGCACCGGGUGGGUGGGCUGGCUUGCUGUGAUCUAAGGAGUUGUCCACCACCGAAGACCUGCUCCUCAGAGGCUGGAUCACUCGGGCUGUAUUGAGCUCUCAAAGCUAAGGUGGCACAAUUCAAAGAAUAUCUCGAUAACCUGGCUCGUUUACCUUCAGCCCCACGCUGUGCCUGCGCUUGCUGAUCUUUUAUUUUCCUGGACAGUAGCAAUUCUGGGCAAGGUUGAAGGUACGAUCCAUUCUUCACUGAGCUCUAUUGGUUUACAUGGGAAGAAGGGAUGGCCAUACCAGUGGACCACACCGACUGUAUUAUAAGAUGAAAAUGGGGAAGAAACGGGUGUUGGUGGUCACCAGUGCUCAGGUAUGGAGAGGACCACGUGCAAGGCUUCCUUGAGAUGUGCAAGUGAGUGUGAUGCUGCAUAAUGCUGGUCGAGCUGUGCAGGUAGAUGGAUGCUUGUUGCAUUGGAACAGCUCAACCAGCCAGGAAUCUAGUGAGAUGUGGCCAAGUGAGACACUACAUAACAAACAAAGGUGACAAGCCCUGGAGAUGGAUCUCUGCACAGAGAGACCAGAUGAAAGAGAGUGUGAAGCCUCUCACUCUCACAUGUG